rnacentral:rRNA from 1 species
GGGCAGCUAUACAUGCAAGUCGAACGAAACUGUGUCUCUACAUCGCGAAUGCUUGCAUUCACCGUAAGAAGUUGAGUGGCGGACGGGUGAGUAACACGUGGGUAACCUGCCUAAAAGAAGGGGAUCACACUUGGAAACAGGUGCUAAUACCGUAUAUCUCUAAGGAUCGCAUGAUCCUUAGAUGAAAGAUGGUUCUGCUAUCGCUUUUAGAUGGACCCGCGGCGUAUUAACUAGUUGGUGGGGUAACGGCCUACCAAGGUGAUGAUACGUAGCCGAACUGAGAGGUUGAUCGGCCACAUUGGGACUGAGACACGGCCCAAACUCCUACGGGAGGCAGCAGUAGGGAAUCUUCCACAAUGGACGCAAGUCUGAUGGAGCAACGCCGCGUGAGUGAAGAAGGUCUUCGGAUCGUAAAACUCUGUUGUUAGAGAAGAACACUAGUGAGAAUAACUGUUCAUUCGAUGACGGUAUCUAACCAGCAAGUCACGGCUAACUACGUGCCAUCAGCCGCGGUAAUACGUAGGUGGCAAGCGUUGUCCGGAUUUAUUGGGCGUAAAGGGAACGCAGGCGGUCUUUUAAGUCUGAUGUGAAAGCCUUCGGCUUAACCGGAGUAGUGCAUUGGAAACUGGAAGACUUGAGUGCAGAAGAGGAGAGUGGAACUCCAUGUGUAGCGGUGAAAUGCGUAGAUAUAUGGAAGAACACCAGUGGCGAAAGCGGCUCUCUGGUCUGUAACUGACGCUGAGGUUCGAAAGCGUGGGUAGCAAACAGGAUUAGAUACCCUGGUAGUCCACGCCGUAAACGAUGAAUGCUAGGUGUUGGAGGGUUUCCGCCCUUCAGUGCCGCAGCUAACGCAAUAAGCAUUCCGCCUGGGGAGUACGACCGCAAGGUUGAAACUCAAAGGAAUUGACGGGGGCCCGCACAAGCGGUGGAGCAUGUGGUUUAAUUGGAAGCAACGCGAAGAACCUUACCAGGUCUUGACAUCCUUUGACCACCUAAGAGAUUAGGCUUUCCUUUCGGGGACAAAGUGACAGGUGGUGCAUGGCUGUCGUCAGUUCGUGUCGUGAGAUGUUGGGUUAAGUCCCGCAACGAGCGCAACCCUUGUUGUCAGUUGCCAGCAUUAAGUUGGGCAUUUUGGCGAGACUGCCGGUGACAAACCGGAGGAAGGUGGGGACGACGUCAAGUCAUCAUGCCCCUUAUGACCUGGGCUACACACGUGCUACAAUGGACGGUACAACGAGUCGCAAGACCGCGAGGUUUAGUUAAUUUCUUAAAGCCGUUCUCAGUUCGGAUUGUAGGCUGCAACUCGCCUACAUGAAGUCGGAAUCGCUAGUAAUCGCGAAUCAGCAUGUCGCGGUGAAUACGUUCCCGGGCCUUGUACACACCGCCCGUCACACCAUGAGAGUUUGUAACACCCAAAGCCGGUGGGGUAACCGCAAGGAGCCAGCCCUCUAUAGGUGGUCCG